AUUGAACGCUGGCGGCAGGCUUAACACAUGCAAGUCGAGCGGGGAAGGCUGCUUCGGUAACUGACCUAGCGGCGGACGGGUGAGUAAUGCUUAGGAAUCUGCCAUUUAGUGGGGGACAACAUUCCGAAAGGAAUGCUAAUACCGCAUACGUCCUACGGGAGAAAGCAGGGGAUCUUCGGACCUUGCGCUAAAUGAUGAGCCUAAGUCGGAUUAGCUAGUUGGUGGGGUAAAGGCCUACCAAGGCGACGAUCUGUAGCGGGUCUGAGAGGAUGAGCCGCCACACUGGGACGGAGACACGGCCCAGACUCCUACGGGAGGCAGAAGUGGGGAAUAUUGGACAAUGGGCGGAAGCCUGAUCCAGCCAUGCCGCGUGUGUGAAGAAGGCCUUAUGGUUGUAAAGCACUUUAAGCGAGGAGGAGGCUACCUAGAUUAAUACUCUAGGAUAGUGGACGUUACUCGCAGAAUAAGCACCGGCUAACUCUGUGCCAGCCGCCGCGGUAAUAC
rnacentral:rRNA from 1 species